rnacentral:rRNA from 1 species
CCUACGGGUGGCUGCAGUGGGGAAUAUUGCACAAUGGGCGCAAGCCUGAUGCAGCCAUGCCGCGUGUGUGAAGAAGGCCUUCGGGUUGUAAAGCACUUUCAGCGGGGAGGAAGGCGGUGAGGUUAAUAACCUCAUCGAUUGACGUUACCCGCAGAAGAAGCACCGGCUCAACUCCGUGCCAGCAGCCGCGGUAAUACGGAGGGUGCAAGCGUUAAUCGGAAUUACUGGGCGUAAAGCGCACGCAGGCGGUCUGUCAAGUCGGAUGUGAAAUCCCCGGGCUCAACCUGGGAACUGCAUUCGAAACUGGCAGGCUAGAGUCUUGUAGAGGGGGGUAGAAUUCCAGGUGUAGCGGUGAAAUGCGUAGAGAUCUGGAGGAAUACCGGUGGCGAAGGCGGCCCCCUGGACAAAGGCUGACGCUCAGGUGCGAAAGCGUGGGGAGCAAACAGGAUUAGAUACCCUAGUAGUC